rnacentral:rRNA from 1 species
CCUACGGGUGGCAGCAGUGGGGAAUAUUGGGCAAUGGGCGCAACCCUGACGCAGCCAUGCCGCGUGAGUGAAGGAAGUCUUCCGGUUUUAAAGCUCUUGCUGACAUGAUGAUGUCGGUAGCGUCUAAAGAAUCACCGGCAAACUUCGUUCCAUCAGCCGCGGUAAUACGAAGGGUGCGAGCGUUGUUCGGAAUUACUGGGCGUAAAGGGAGUGUAGGCGGAUAUGUAAGAUAGGGGUGAAAUGCCGGGGCUCAACCCCGGAACUGCCAUUAUGACUAUGUAUCUAGAGUGAAGGAGAGGAUAGCGGAAUACCUAGUGUAGAGGUGAAAUUCGUAGAUAUUGGGUAGAACACCGGUGGCGAAGGCGGCUAUCUGGCCAUUUCCUGACGCUGAGGCUCGAAAGCAUGGGGAUCAAACAGGAUUAGAUACCCUGGUAGUC